UCUUCCUAACCUAGACAAGCAGAAUUGUCUAAGGGUUGGAUUGUUCACCCACUAACAGGGAACGUGAGCUGGGUUUAGACCGUCGUGAGACAGGUUGGUCUCCUAUCUACUGCAGGCGUCGAUACUUGACGAGAGUUGUCCCUAGUACGAGAGGACCGGGAUGGACGAACCUCUGGUAUGCCAGUUGUUCCGCCAGGAGCACGGCUGGUUAGCUACGUUCGGAAGUGAUAACCGCUGAAAGCAUCUAAGCGGGAAGCACGCUUCAAGAUGAGGGCUCCCACAGGGUUGACCUGGUAAGGCCCCCAGCUAGACGACUGGGUUGAUAGGCCGGAAGUGGAAGCACAGUGAUGUGUGGAGCUGACCGGUACUAAUAGGCCGAGGACUUGCCACA
rnacentral:rRNA from 1 species